rfam:Cavia porcellus supercont2_9 genomic scaffold, whole genome shotgun sequence.
CAAUAGGCUCUGAUGAGAGCCAUAUAAAAGUUAAUGAAGAAAAUAAU